rnacentral:ncRNA from 1 species
AUAAUGAUACUUCCGUCCAGCCACAGCCAGACGCAAUGGGGGCGGCUUCAUGAGAACCAUGUUGAGGUUAGAGUCCUAUGA